GACAGAGGUGCCGAGCGUUAGGCGGAAUCACUGGGCUUAAAGCGCGUGUAGGCGGGCCGCCACGUCGGCUGCUGAAAUCCCCCGGCUCAACCGGGGAACGGGCACCGAUACGAGCGGCCUCGAGGGGGGUAGGGGGGUCUGGAACUUCCGGUGGAGCGGUGAAAUGCGUUGAGAUCGGAAGGAACGCCCGUGGCGAAAGCGAGGCCCUGGACCCUUACUGACGCUGAGACGC
rnacentral:rRNA from 1 species